GGCGAACGCUGGCGGCGCGCCUAACACAUGCAAGUCGAACGGAGCUGAGAGAAGCUUGCUUUUCUUAGCUUAGUGGCGAACGGGUGAGUAACGCGUGAGUAACCUGCCCUGGAGUGGGGGACAACAGUUGGAAACGACUGCUAAUACCGCAUAAGCCCACGAUCCGGCAUCGGAUUGAGGGAAAAGGAUUUAUUCGCUUCAGGAUGGACUCGCGUCCAAUUAGCUAGUUGGUGAGGUAACGGCCCACCAAGGCGACGAUUGGUAGCCGGACUGAGAGGUUGAACGGCCACAUUGGGACUGAGACACGGCCCAGACUCCUACGGGAGGCAGCAGUGGGGGAUAUUGCACAAUGGGGGAAACCCUGAUGCAGCGACGCCGCGUGGAGGAAGAAGGUUUUCGGAUUGUAAACUCCUGUCGUUAGGGACGAUAAUGACGGUACCUAACAAGAAAGCACCGGCUAACUACGUG
rnacentral:rRNA from 1 species